AUGAGUAGUACAAGCUGCACAAUUUUAAGUUGGAACAUCAGGGGUCUGAACACGCUAGCCAGGCGAACUGUUGUGCGACAGAUAGCAGAAGCGCAGCGGGCAAGAAUUCUCUGUCUGCAGGAGACUAAGCUAGAAUCUUAGACGCCCAGUGUUGUUAGAGAGCUGGGAGGAACCAGAUUGGAAGGGUGCGCCGUUCUUCCAGCGAUCGGCACUAGAGGAGGAAUUGCUGUUCUCUGGGACAAGAGUAUGGUCAGUUUUGUGACACACGCAGUCGGAAAUUUCUCAAUCACCGGAAAAGUGUCCCUGAUCCCGGACAGACUUGAUUUCUGGCUCACAAAUGUCUACGGGCCAGUGGACGACACGAGAAAAGAUGACUUCCUUGCUGAAAUGGCUCAUGCUGCACCACCACAAGGAGAACCCUGGCUGUUAAAUGGAGAUUUCAACAUCAUAUAUGAAACCCGUGACAAAAACAAUCUCAACCUGAACAGGAGGACCAUGGGCAUGUUCAGAACAGCGAUCGACAGAGCAGGCUUAAGAGAGAUCAAAUGCAAAAAUAGAAGGUUCACAUGGACAAAUGAGCGCCAAAACCCAAUGAUGGUCAGCAUACAAAGUGUUCUGCAACUCGGAAUGGGACACCCUCUUCCCUUCGUUUAUGCUGAUGGCCACGACAACAGCAUGUUCAGAUCACUGCCCACUGCUACUUGCAAACACUGCGACACCACAUAA
rnacentral:rRNA from 1 species